CAGUCUGGUGCCAGCAGCCGCGGUAAUUCCAGCUCCAAUAGCGUAUAUUAAAGUUGUUGCAGUUAAAAAGCUCGUAGUUGAACUUCGGGGUCUACCCAUUGGUCAGGCUUAAUUGUCUGUACUGGUGAGAUGGAUCUCUACCUUCUGAGGAACUUUCAUGCCAUUUAUUUGGUGUGAUGGGAAAUCAGGACUGUUACUUUGAAAAAAUUAGAGUGUUUAAAGCAGACUAUCGUCUGAAUACAUUAGCAUGGAAUAAUGAAAUAGGACGGACUGAUUCUAUUUCGUUGGUUUCUAGGAUCACCGUAAUGAUUAAUAGGGAUAGUUGGGGGCAUUAGUAUUCAAUUGUCAGAGGUGAAAUUCUUGGAUUUAUUGAAGACUAACUACUGCGAAAGCAUUUGCCAAGGAUGUUUUCAUUAAUCAAGAACGAAAGUUAGGGGAUCGAAGNCGAUCAGAUACCGUCGUAGUCUUAACCAUAAACUAUGCCGAC
rnacentral:rRNA from 1 species